CCAAGCAACAAGAAGAUGCAGGUUACAAAGAUUGUUGCAGGGUUGUUGCAUUCAGCCUGCAUCAGCGAACAAGGAUCUGUUUUUACAUUUGGUGAAAGAACAAUAGGUAGGCUGGGCUUUGGAGAAGCAAACAAUGCAACAUCACCAUCCAUUAUCAGCGAAAUUCCCUUGUCGCAAGGAGUUUCUUUCAGUGGUUAUCACAGAUGCGUUAUAACUGGU